UGCACUUGACACAGGAAAAUUUUCUUCCUGCUGCCUGAUCUCUUUGCAAGAAAGGCCAAAUGUAAAGGAUGAUAACAAUUCAUAAAGAAAAUGGUACUGGAAAAAUUACUCUUCAUCUGCCUAGUUUCAAUUUUGAGAGACAUCAAAUUAUAUGAUUCCAGUACAUAAUUUAAGAUGAAUAAUUUGCCAAAGUAAAAAACAGCUUGACAUGUCAUGCAGAUUGCAUAUUCACCUGGAAGAGAAAUAUGAAUAAUAUCUGAGGGCAGAGAAGGAGCAGCUGCAGGAAGUUUGCCCAAAAUAAUAUUUGUUUCCAAUGGUCAGAUGCCCUAAGUAACAGAAAACAGCGUGUUCUGGCCCGCAUUCAGUUAUUAAUUCCACCUAGAGGAAGCCAACUGCAUGAAUGAGAGUUUGGUUGGCAGAAGCUGGGCCUAACAGCAAGAACUCACCCCACUUCCUGGAUUCGAACCACCAACCUUUCUUUCA